AGGCUUUAGAUAUUUUCGAUUGAUCUUGGAGAUGCUAAGGAGCCACUGGAGUUGAAUGAAUCAGGAGAGGGCAGGGAGAUCACUUGCAGAGCUGAAUUGAAGUUUGGGAGCCUGGGAUGGAGAGAGACUACCCAAAAAGUCAUUGCCACAGUCCAGGCUUGAGGUGAUGAGGGCUUGCUUGUAUCCUGGUGUAUCAGAGUCAAUGGAGAGAAAGGAAACCUUUAUGAGAAACGUAAAGGGGGAGAUGAUGUGGCUUUGCAUAUGCCUAGAUUAUCUCAGUGGUAAAUGCAAUCAUCAGAAGGGACUCCCUUGACCACACUGACCUCAUCAUUGGAGCAAGUCUUGUGAUAUCUCCAGAAACUCGAUGCACCUGCUAGAUAUUGUUAAUCACUCCCCAGACUUAGGCUAUUUGCAAAUAACUUAACUCCCUCCUGCUGUUACCCCUCUAGGUUGAAGUAUAUUUAAAUCCUGCUCCUUCUGCCCCUUUCAGGGCACUUUUAUGCUCUAGUGUUGUAUGGUUGCUCUAAAUUGCAAUUCCCUUAUCUUAGUCAAAGGUCUUUGUUGUUGCUCUUUUGCUAGCCCUUUUUAUUUCAGGUUCAGGUAGGACAGAGGCACCUAUUGGGAGAAGGCACACUGAAUUCUCCUACCACGUAGAUAGGACCAGCUUCUUCUGUUGGCUGUACCUUUGAAACUUCCAGACUGAGAUCAUCUCUCUCUGGCAUUAUCUGAGGUGCCAAGUUCCUACUCACCUGCAGCACAGGUACUGUGCAUUGAACUGAGUGUGGGGGAAGGACCAAUCCUUUUCCUUUUAAAUCCCAAAGUCCAGAGAGUUGAGUUUGGGUUUUGAUCUGUUUCAUUUAUUAUUUUUAGUUCUAGGCACCAACAGUCACCUGGAAACUCUAACCAUGGUGACCUUGGAGAUCUUCAGACUUCAGUGGUGUUACAUUUUGCUAUCAACCCAGCAGGGAAGUUUCCCAGAAGGCAAGGAGCCAUCAUCUAAGAGGGAAAUCUGGAAUGUGUCAAGUGACAAUGUUUUAAUAUGGAAGAUACCACUCUCGAUCUGGGCCAAGAGAAGAGAGCAGAGGUCGGUCAAAUAGCAGGUAAUGAGCCAUGCCAUUUCCAGAGUGAGCAUUUGUAACCUCCAUGUUAACAUUUUUUUGGUCCACGGUUUUGUAUAACUUCUUCUUAAGUCUAUUUAUAUAAUUUGUUCCUACCAGUGCCCUGGGUCAUUUAUUACACCUAUUAGCUGCUCACUCUGAAGAGAUUCUGCCAGGAUUCCUCUUACAACCUUAUUUAAGUCUGUUUCCUUCUCAGACUUGGAGGUUGCAACAGCCCAUCAUUCUGCUUACUCGGCUUCUGGCCCUGUUCUCCUUUUGCUCUGGUCCAUGUGUGCACAGGCAGCUUUGUGCUUGUCAGUUGCACAUACAUAUGGGCUAUCAAACUUAAUUUUAUGGAACAACAAAUACAUUGAAAGAUACAUGUAAGUCUUUAUCUUCCCAG
rnacentral:lncRNA from 1 species